AAACGAGUUCUUCCUUGAGAGCCGUGGUAGACCACCACGUUGAUUGGCCGGGUGUGUAAGUGAAGUAAUGCAUUGUGCUUACCGGUACUAAUAGCUCGAUUGGCUUGAUUGC
rnacentral:rRNA from 1 species